AUUGAACGCUGGCGGCAUGCUUUACACAUGCAAGUCGAACGGUAACAGGCCGCAAGGUGCUGACGAGUGGCGAACGGGUGAGUAAUGCAUCGGAACGUGCCCAGUCGUGGGGGAUAACGCAGCGAAAGCUGCGCUAAUACCGCAUACGAUCUAUGGAUGAAAGCGGGGGACCGUAAGGCCUCGCGCGAUUGGAGCGGCCGAUGUCAGAUUAGUUAGUUGGUGGGGUAAAGGCUCACCAAGCCAACGAUCUGUAGCUGGUCUGAGAGGACGACCAGCCACACUGGGACUGAGACACGGCCCAGACUCCUACGGGAGGCAGCAGUGGUGAAUUUUGGACAAUGGGCGCAAGCCUGAUCCAGCAAUGCCGCGUGCAGGAAGAUGGCCUUCGGGUUGUAAACUGCUUUUGUACGGAACGAAACGGUCUGGGUUAAUACCCUGGGCUAAUGACGGUACCGUAAGAAUAAGCACCGGCUAACUACGUGCCAGCCGCCGCGGUAACAC
rnacentral:rRNA from 1 species